CCCCUCGGGGUCACCGCCGUCGCCGCUCCCCCCUCCUUCCUCGCCGGGACAUCGCGCGCCGCUCUCUCCGCCCCGCCCCCGCCGGAAAGUUCGAGUCUUUCGCAGACCGGUCGUCCGUCCGUCCGUCCCCUCUGACUGAUUGAUUGAGGUAUGAGCAGCUAGCCAGCCUAGGUCGUUUCUUCCUCAUCCAUCCAUCCAUCCAGCGCCGGCGGCGAUUGCCCUCUAGCUGGCAGUAAAUCUCGCUGCGAAUUUCUGCGCAGAUCCGCGCUCGGAGUCGUGGAAUCGCGCAUGAUCUAGCAAUGGAGCCGUCGGAUCUGAACACGCACCUGCCGCCGCGGAAGCGGCUGCUCGCAGGGCUCCGGACGGGGCCCGCGCCCUCCCCCGGCGACGCCGCGCCCGCGCCCGAGCCGCCCUUGCUC
rnacentral:lncRNA from 1 species